rnacentral:lncRNA from 1 species
AUUACAGGUGUGCACCACUGCAUCCGGUUUCCAAAUAAAUAAUUCUUUCUAUACAAAGGUUAGCACUCUAUAGCAUGCUUGUGGGGCAUUAAAAAAAUAAUUUGUUUAAAACAGAGCCUCCUAGGGUUAUCAAAGCUGGUCCUAGCAAAAUAUAUAAAGUCCCUAAAGCACCUUGUCCUUGAACUCUCCCACUUCUCUCAAUGGCUUUUUUCCAACUUCUCUUUCCUCUCCCUAAAGUCCUAUUCCUUCAAAGAUGGUAGCUGGAAUUAAAGUUGGUAGCAGAUUGGGCUUUAAGGUUUGAGCCUCCCAAGAGUCUAAAAAUCACUAAGGCACCCUAACUCCCUUUCCUCAUGACUUCUGCUCACAAACCUGGCUGAGCAGGAGUCAGGGUUCCAGGGAAGUUUUCCUGAUUUCUGGAGCUAUCUCCUAUUGGACUUUUGCCAACGGGUCUGAAACAUGUGGGUUAUUCUUACAAAUCUAAUUCUCUAGGAUUUUUUACAGGAUGUUUCUCUUUGAAUAAGCAAAUACAGAGUCAAAUUUCUAACAUUACUUUAUUGUCAAGAUAGAGACACUUGUCUAUAUGGUAAUUCACAUGUUAAAUAUAUCAAUGUAUAUAUAUUUAAGAACCAGGUGGAACUUUCAUUUUUAAGCUAGGUAUAUGAUGGGUUUUAUUAAAAUGUGCCUUAAAAGCCUAUUACUUCAAGAGUAAAUGAUUCUUUGGGGGAAAGGCAAAAAUAAUCUGUGACACAGGACCCAAAUUCAUGGUAGUAAGUGCACUCUUUGGUUAAUCACAUGCUAAUAUAGAUGACAUGUUAAUAUAGAUGACUGCCUCAAACCGUGUGUGACAAUGAUCUCUUAAUUAAAAAAAGAUGUAGGAAUUGUGUCUAAGU